CACCUGCACCCAGGUGAAAUAAACAGCCAUGUUGCUCACACAAAGCCUGUUUGCUGGUCUCUUCACAGAUACGCGCAUGAAAGGAAGAUUAAGAAAAACAAAAAAAUGUAAAUUUACUGGACACUGAAUAUAUACUAAGUACUGCUUAAGUGAUUUACAUGUCAAGAUUAAAAUAUUUUGCUUUACUUUAAUUAUCAUCAUAUUCUUCAUCCAUCUUUCAUUUCAUCUUCAUCAUGCCAUUUCUUUCUCCUUCCCCUGGGCCUGAAAUUUUAUCAAGAAGACACACUUGCUGUGUGACUUGAUUAAUUUACUUAAGCAUGGUAAGCCUUUGUAUAAUAUGGAAUUAGAAAAAAAAGUCUUCUUAGAAGUAUUUUAUGAAAACGACAUGAGAGACAGUAUGUAUAUGGUUUGCAUCACAUGUCUGGCAUUAUUUACCAUUAAUUGUUUUAUUCUCUUAAUUUGAGCAAUUUACUUUUGAAAUGCUAUCUGGAAACGGUGUUAAUUUUAAGAAAGGUUGGGCCUCUAUGUAAAAAUACUGUAAGAGGUCACAACAACAAAUAUGUCUUAAAUUCUGAUGAUGUGUUAAAAAGCUUGAGAAGCACUCAAUAACAAAAACAUACUCACUGACAUACAGGAAGGUGAAAUGAGGUGUCCAUGGCUAGACAGCUAAUAAAUGUAAGAGACAGAUUCUGAUCUCAGAUGAUUUGAUCAGAAACUUUUAACCACUAUAUGCUGAAUUAGCACUAAAAUAUAAAUCUAAAAGUUGUGUUCUUUUUAACUCUUACUAGGUACUAUUUGUUAAGACAUUUUAAGAAUACAGUAUAAAGAUUUUUGCCAACUUUUUCAUGCUUAAUGCUUAUGUAAAUUAAUUUCUUAAGUAAGAUAGCAUGCCUAUAAAAAUCCUAGGGAUAGUGUAUUACCCAUGAGAUUUCUAAGCUAUAUUUUUUAAUGUAGUAAAUCAAAGUGGGUGUAUUCCAAUUUCUUACAACUAGAAAAGCUAAUUUCGAUAAAAAUGAAAUAUUUACAUGAAUCAACUGCAAGGUUUUUAAAAUAUAUUAUUUUUAAUUAAAAAUAAUCGCUGGCGAGCAAAAAGGUUAUUUUGGCUAUAUUGUUCGUAUCUUGAAAGUACCCAUACCGCAUUAGUGUAUAUCCAAAGUAAUUUAUAUUUUGUCCUAAAUUAAUAUGGUGUUGGUUGAAUUUUCUAUGUAGAAAUAUUUUUGUUUUAAUAGAAAAUACAAUUUUCCAUUUUGGCAGUUACACAAAUAUAAAAUAUAUUUACACUUAACUGUAUAGUUCAAAUGUUAUUCAAUUAUUUUAUAUUUAUAAUUAUUGCAAUAUAAUUUAAAAAAAUAGUUAAGAGAUUUUAUUUACUUAUUUGUUUACGUAUUUAUUUAUUUAUUUAUUUAUGUUUUGAGACUGAGUCUUGCUCUGUUGCCCGGGCUAGAGUGCAGUGGUGCGAUCUCAGCUCACUGCAACCUCUGCCUCCCAGGUUUAAGUGAUUCUCCUGCCUUGGCCUUCCAAGUAGCUGGGGUUACAGGUGUGCGCCACCACACCCAGCUGAUUUUUUUGUAUUUUUAGUAAAGACGGAGUUUCACCAUGUUGGCUAGGCUGUUCUUGAUCUCCUGACCUCAAGUGAUCUGCUGGCCUUGAUCUCCCAGAGUUCUGAGAUUACAGGCAUGUGCCACCGCUCCCGGCCUAAGAGAGGUUAUUUUUUUAAAAAAACAGUUUUAAGUUUACAUCAAAACGGAUGGGAAGGUACCGAGACAUCCUAUGAACCUUCUGCCUCCACACAUGCAUAUUCUCCCCUAUUAUCAACGUCCCUUACUGAAGUGGUGCAUGUGUAACAAUUGGUGAACCUACACUGAGACAUCAUUAUCACCCCAAAUCCACAGUUCAUACAAGUCUUCACUCUUGAUGCUUUGCAUUCCCGGGCUGGACAAUUAAUAAUGACAUGUAUCCAUCAUUAUAGUAUCACACAGGUUACUUUCAGGGCACUGAAAAUAACGCUAUCCUCUGCCUAUUCAUCAAUCUCUCUGGACCAACCCCUGCAACUAUUGAUAUUUUUACUAUCUUCAUAAUUUUUCCUUUUCUGAAAUGUCAUCUAGCUGGAAUAAUACAAUAUGUACCCUUUUCAGAUUGACUUCUUUUAUUCUUUCUUGAGAUUUAAUUUGCUUUACCUUUAUCUUCCUAAGGUGGAAGCUUAGAUAAUUGCUUGAGUUCUUCUUGUAUUCUAAUGUUAAUGCUAUACAUUUUACUCUAAACACUGCCUUCACUGAAUCUCACACAUCUUGAGAACUAGUGCUUUUAUGUUGAUUUAGCUCACAAUAUUUUUAAAAUUUCUACUCUUUCUCCAACCCAUGUGUUAUUUUGAGGUAUGUUGUUAAAUCUCCAAAUAUUUUGUAAUUUCUCAGCUAUUUUUCUGUUAUUGAUUUCUAGUUCAAGUCCAUUGUGGUCAGACACCAGACAUUAUGUAAUUUUUAUGUUUAAAAUGUGUUUAAGGUGAUUCUGAAGGCCCAAAAUACAGUCUAUUUUGUUGAAUGUUUCAUGUGAGCUUGAGAAAAAUAUGUAUUCUGCUGUUGUUGGAUGAAGUAGUCAGUAGAUGUCCAUUAUAUCUAUUUGAUUGAUGGUAUGGUUAAUUUUAGCUAUGCACUUACAGAUUUUCUGCCUACUGGAUCUGUCCAUUUCUGUUGGAGUGUUGAAGUCAAUUAUGAUACUGUAUGCAUUUAUUUCUCCUCAUAUUUCUAUGGGUUUUGCCUCACAUAUUUUUAUACUCUGUUGUCAGGCACAUACACAUUAAAUAUUGUUAUGUCUCAUCGAAUGAGUCCUUCAUUAUUACAUCAUGCUCCUUUUUAUUCCUGACAACUUUCCUUACUCUGAAAUUUGCUGUGUCUGAAAUUAAUAUAGUGCUAAUUCUGGUUUCUUUUUAUUGGUAUCAACAUGAUAUAUCUUUCUCGAUUUAUUUAGUUUGAAUCUAUAAGUGCCUAUAAGAAAGUGCGUUUUCUGUAGGCAACACAUAGUUGGGCUUUGUUUUCUGAUUCUCUCCUGACAAAGCUGGAUUAAUAUCUACUAUAUUUGUUUCAGUUUUCUAAUUGCUGCCAUUAUUUUUUGCUUCUAUUUUUAUUUUUCACUCUUUUUCUGUCUUUUGUGGUUUAAUAGAGCAUUUCUUAUGGUUCAAUUUCCUCUUUCUCUCUGUUAAUUCCAGCAUGCCUGCUAUGUCUGAGUCUGGUUCUGAUGCUUGCCCUGUCUCUUGGAAUUAUUAUUAUUUUGUCUUUUGUUAUGUAUUGUAAAUUGUUUUCUUGAUAGUUGGAAAUGGGCUGGUUAAAAGGAAUUGUAAAUAGGCCUUUAGUAAUGCGACGAUAUGGUGUACUAGGAGAAAGGGGGUUUUCUUUAAUCCUGUUAGUAGCUCUAGUCUUUUCGUGAGCCUGUGCCUGAGUUGUGAACUUCGAAUCUGCUUCUCAACUUUUUUUUUUGCUUUGUUUUCCCACCCCUUUAGGUGGGACACAAUGGCUAGAGUGAGCUGGGUUUCGGCAUUUUCCACGUAAAGAAAGGAGGGGCUGGAGUUCUGUGUUUCCCUUCCCCAAGGUCAUGUAGGCUCAGAUAAAACCCCAGCAGUUUAGGCUUUCUUUAACUGGUUUCUCCUGUAGGUAAAUCUUGUAAAGAAAAGACUGUUCUGGAAAAUUUCAAAAUGGUUCCUUUACCCACCCACUGCUGAAAGCUUGAGGGUAAUUUUCUCUGAUAUUCAUUAUGAGAACCUGGCAGAGCUCCUGAAGGCAAAACUCAGAAACAAAUGGGGGGGGGGGUCCCAAAGACUGUAGCACAGGAGUUUUUAAUCUUUCAGACUCUUCCAUAAUGAGCCUCCAGCAAUUUGUCAAGAACCCUUAAGUUUUUCCUAUUUUGACACUGGUUCCUAUGGAGAUUGCUGCUCUUAUAAGUUGUGAGAAAUUUAAUUGUUUUUUACUUUUGAUAUAAAUACCUCUACAUGAGUAAUACAUCUGUAUAUUUGCUGUAUUUCAAAAUAAGUAAGAUGGGUCCAUGGGCACUAUUCAGUUACAUGCUCAAGCAAUUUUUUAGGGUGUAAGUAAUAAGUACCCUUUAGUCAAUAACAUGUAUAUAUUACUUAUUUUCAUGGUAAAAUGACUAGAUGAUUUGAUAUUCCUUCCUCCCUGUCCCUUUUUAUAGAUUAAAUUUAGCACAUAUUCAGGAUAACAACUAGAUGUCAGAUAUUUGAUUACACAGAAUCUGUGAAAUAAACCAAUAGAUAAGAUCUUAUGCAGCAUGCAAACCCAUUUUUUUGCAGUAUUCACUGCAAAAUCUUAUAAAAUCCUAUUUCAAGGUUAUAAAAUUUAAUCAACUAGGCAUUUUUAAGCCAAAAUCUUGUACUUUCUACAUUUUAAGCAUGUCGUAAGAAAAGAAUAUAGACUCUGGCUGUUUCCAUUUUGAAACAUCUUAUUUUGAUCAUAUAAAUAAGCAAAAGAUUACCCUGAGCCAGAUUGGUUUUCUCUCUUAUCAUUAAGGCCUCCACUCAUUUCUGCCACCUGAGUCUUCUUAUACAAUUCUGUAAUUAUACACAUAUUAACAUCAAUUGAGUAAGUAAAUGGAUAGCAUCAUUUUAAUUUAUAUUUUUCCAAAGUGAACAAAACACAUGUUUUACAGAAAUUAAUAGUUGUAUGCAGUUUGAUUACAAAAUAAUACAGCUGAUAUUUCAAGCAGUUUGUAGCUCGCUAGCUCAUUAAUUUUUGCUCAUUAAUUACACUUUUUCUCUCUCAACUCUCUUACUCUAAUCUACUUUCUCUCUGCACCCUCAAUACACACAUAAAAUGUAAGUAAUAGCAGAGUCUGACAUAAAUCAGUUUAAAUUACAGUUUUGCCAGUCACUGUUUUUGACACUACGGAUAAAUUAUUCAAUAACUCUGAGGCUCAUUUUCCGCAUCUGUGAAUUAGGGAUAAAAACGCUUAUCUUAUAUUGUUCCUGUGAGUAUCUAAUGAGGGCAUAUCUGUAAGUGCAUGUUACCUAGGCUUGCACAGUAUUUUCUAAAAAUGAACUAUAUAUAUAAUCAUAGUUUCCAGAUCGUUAACCUUCAUUUUAAUGGUGCAGAAUAUUUUUGUUCAGUUGGUCUACAAUUUAUACACAUAUAUUUAAAGCUACACAAAAAUAUAUUAACUAAUAAAAAAAUGGACUAUAAAAUCUGAAAAAGGAAGACUUAAGAACGGUGAUGGGUUAAUAAAUAGCUCAAUGCAGACUUGUUAAGGGAUGACUAGCUGAAUAGGUGUGUCAACAAUACAAUCACACAAUCGUCUUCAAAUAAUUUUUAAAUAAACAUAUUACUGGCAUUUACUAAUACAAAGAAGGGUUUCUAUCUAUAAGAUAAUUUAAUAGGAUCUUUCUGCACAGAUUAAGUUGAUUACCAUAAAUAAACUAGAACUGAUGUAUUCAAGGGGCAUGGCUGUUUGAAGAACAGAAGGUAGCCACAUGAAUGUGUUCUAUUUAGUAAUUAACAGUAUGUAAAAUGAAAGAAUACCUAAACCAAAAUGGCUCCACUUAAUCAACUGUUUUGUUGGUAGAUUACCUAGACCCAGAUCCUCUAUCACUAUCUUCUCAGGAGUCCUAAGCAUAUUAAUGCACUGCUCUUGAGUUUUUAGAAUUUGUUCAGAGUGUUUAAAACUACAUACAUGUAACAUCUGUUUUAUACAAGAUACUUCAAAAACCAAAGUGAUUACUAUAAUACAUUCUAUUAAACCUAAACCAACAUGUGUUCAAAUGCAGAGAACAAAAAGGAAUGUUUUGUCAGAUGUUGCAUCUGAUGGAUUGAAAGAGUUCUAUAAAAUAGCUCCUCUAUAGCUUGUGCUUUCUGUAUUUUUGAGUCUUUAGGAAAGUUUAAUGCUGGGGAAUAUCUGUGAUGUGUGUGUGUGCCUAGGCAAUUCAACCCUUUGUGGUAACACAGCAUUCCUAGCUAUCAUUCUAUCGUAUGACAAUUUAUUAAUUAUCAUAAUUUACUGGCAGUAAUAUUUUUCUUUAAUUCCUCUUUUCAAACUUGUCAGAUUCAGUAAGAAAAACCAAUGUAAUAUGCAAAUGUCUCCACUCUAUCAUUCCAUGAGUUAUGAGUCCUUUCUUACCAACUAUAUCAUUUAUAAACUAAGUACAUGAAUACUACCAAGUAAUAUACUAUCUUAUCAUUAACAUUAAUCAACUUAUGCAAUACUUUUUAUAUAUUGAAAAAUGUCUACUAGAGUAUAAAAAAAUUGUAAAAAACUCAAACUCUUUUUUUCUUCUUAUUUUGACUGCUGCCUGAUGUAAACAAUCAAACUUUUCAUAUAGAUCCCUAUUUCUAUUUCUAUGUACUACUAUUGUAACACGCUUUCUCAUUAUCUUAAUUUAUGUUUAUAAAAGUCAAAACAUAUUUUUGUCAUGAGUAAGAUGGUCUUUUCAUAUUAUGCACUGUGUUAAUCGGAGGGGAAGUAGGGCAGGGAGAAAAGGAAACUAUAGUAUAUAAAAAAACUACUAAGUCCCAGAACUGCAAUACCCAGUAGUGUAGCAACUAAUCUCUUGAAACUAUUGAACACUUGAAAUGUAGCCAGUGGAAAUAGUGAAGUGCGGAAGGUGCAGUAUACACAUUGGAUUUUGAAGACAAUACAAGAAACAGACAGACAAUGAAUAAUACUGGUAUCUUGUAUUUAUCCCAUUUUGAGAUGAUAAUAUUUUUGAUAUAUUAAGAUAUAUUAUGAUUAAUUAUACCUGUUUAUUUUCACUUAUUAAUUUUGUUUUUUAGGAGAUUAAAAUUACAUUUGUGAUUCAUAUUUUAUUCUUAUUGGAGAGGACUGUGCCAGAUACUUCACACUAACACUUUGAGUUAUGGAGGAACAUGAUCCCUUCUACCUGUAUCAUGAAGUUUGAGAAUUUGAAAAUUAUAGUCCUACUUGAAUUAAUUUUAUAUUACUAUAUAAAAAUACCAAAAACUUAGUAACUUAAACAACAUCCAUUUAUGAUCUUACAUUUCUAUAUGUUACAACUCCAGGUUUGAUUUUACUGGAUUCUCUGCUAAAGGAGUUUCACUCAAGGUAUAGAGGCUCUGGAGAAGAAUCCACUUUGAGCCCCUUUGGGUUGGGCCCACUGUUUUCUGUUACAUGGACCCCUAAAUCUUCAAAGAGAAGUUGAAUACUUUCUGUAUUUUGAGUUACGAUUUUUUCCUCUGUCUCUGACCUGUAGAACCUUAUGUGAAAGUUCAUGUGACUUGGUCAGGUCCAUCUAAAUAAUCUCCCUUUUCAUUAACUCAUUUACAAAAUUCCUUUUGCCAACUGAUUUGGCUCAAAAUUAGUAAUUGAUGUUAUAGAAGCCUGUGGGUUUAGGGAAAGGGGAAAUUCACCAAGAACCUAAAUAGCUCUGUCUGCUUUGUCUUUUUUCCAAAUGUACCAUGUGGUAAAUUGCUAAACCUUAUUGAGACAGUGUUUUCUCAGUUGACAAACUGAGUGUACCAACACGCUACAUUUCUGUAUCAUGGGGUUGAUAAGGAUUUUAUAUGUAUAUAUGCAGAAAGAGACUAUAGAGGCUUGUAUAUAUGUAUAUGUGCAUAUGUAUAUGAACACAAAAUUCUACAAAGUGCUUAUACCAAUAUAAGUACUAUCGCUUAGAAUGCACCUUUUUAGCUACCUUUCAGAUUCUUGUCCACUAAGCAUUGCCAAGUCUUCAAAGGUAAUUGCUGCAAUUUUGGCAAAAUCUCUAAGACUACUUUUCUGUUCUCAUGAAACUCUGUUUAAAUAGGAAAAACACAAAAUAGGUAGGCAAACUUUUUUCUUUCUUUCUUUCUUUUUCCACAGGAAACGACGAGGCUGAAUCCUGUUGGAGUGAUUUGUUCUUCGGACUUUGUAUCUUAAAUGAAAUCUUCUCCCUUAGAGGCCACAUAAACUGAUGGUACAAUCUGCAACUCUAAGCAAAUUCAUAGGUUAUACUUUUUCUUCUUCAUACUUGACAUUUGAACCUAGCAAGUUUGAAUAGCCUGUAAUUUGAAAACUCCCUUGCACAUCUAGCAGAUCAAGGUAGCUUGUUCUGCCUUCUGGACAAAUGGUGCCCUUAAGUCAGCUUAGGGAGACUGUUCCGAUAUCAAGAUUCUGUUUGAAUACUAUAUACUCUCAGCUGCUUAUUUAUUCAUAUAUAUAUGACACGUUUAUCAUGGAAGUAUUUCAAAACUAUCUGAAAAUGAAUAUUGAUUAUUAAGGCAUUCAGUUUUAGGAAGAAAACAUACAUAAAUAUAUGAUCUUCAUUAUUUUCCUUUCUCCAUGCAAUUUCAAUAGAUAUUUAUCAAGAACUCAAAAUAUGCCUAGCACUGCCUAGGUGUUGGAAACAUUAGAGAAAUUAAAACAGAUAAAUUCCUUCCUUUAGUAGACUUAGUCUAACUAAAUAAAUGAUUUUUAAAAGGGCAUAAUAAAUGGUAUAAGCAAAAGAAAAUGAAGGUGAGGGGAAUAGGGCAUGCCAAGUAGGGAGCUGCUAUUUUAAUGAGGCCUAGGAGAAAACCAUUUAUAAGGUGACAUUUGAGCAGAGACCUAAAGAAAGUGAGAAAACGUGAUACAUGUAUGUACAUGGAAAAAGAAUAUAAUAAGCAAAAAAAAAAAAAAAAAUGGAGGCCAAGAGGGAAUCUUAUGCAUUACACAGAUUUUGAACUAAAAGCAAGAAGGCCAUAAUGGCUAAAAAUAAAUGAGGAUUCAUUAAAGAGGGUGAAGAAUAUAGAGAGUUAGGACUAUUGCUGUGAUGUAAAGUCAUUGGAGAGAUGACCUGAGAGAUUAGAACCCUGGGGUAACUUACAUUUCAUUUGCUGUUUUAUUCCAAAGUGAUAUUCAUUAUCUAAAGAAAAAAAUCAAAUAUACAGAAAUGAUAAAAUACAAAACAAUGCUGACCUUUAAGAAACAUUGACCUAUAAAUACUAAGAUGUUAAAUAUUUGUUUCUUGUGAUUUGUAUCUUUAUUGAUGUGAUAAUUAUGUAUCUAUAAGUUUGUGAGUAAAAUACAUAACAAGCCUGGAAUGUAUUUUCUUUAUAAUUCACAUUAAUUUUUUGCACUAAAAUUCAAUCUAGUAAAUUUCCUGUUAUAGUCAAUUAAUUUUGACAACACAUAUUUUAAUGCUCCAUGGUAUUAACAACCCAUUAUGAUUUGCAUUUAAGAUUAUUUAGAGUAUUCAGUGUAAUAAAUAAUGCAAAUGUAGGCAAAAGCUUUUCCAUGUAUACACACACACUACACACUAUAUUUUUAAUUAUUUCAUUCACAUAGAUUAAAAUAAACUUUUGUUUAAUGUAAAACAAUAUUGAUGCUCCCAACUCCCUAGUUACUUUGUACAAUUUGCAUGCCUACCAGCAAUGAUGAAUAUCCUAAUUGCCUUAAACAUAUCUAUAUUAUGUCAAAUCUUUCAUGCACUUUCAGUGUCUGACUUCUUUAGCACUGAAGUUCAUGCUCAGAUUUAAAGGGCCUGUAUGAAUAGGUGAGGCCCACCUGAAUACUCUGCAGAUAACCUGAUUUGGUACCUUAAUUCCAUCUUUAAAAUCCUUUCUAGCAACACCUACAUUCAUGAUUGAUAGACUAACUGAGAGAAGGUAUAUACACCACGGACUGCGAAUUUUGGAGGUCACUUUAGAAUUCUGUCUACCACGGAUACAUUUGAAUAUAUCUGCACAUUUACAUAUAGUUGUCACCACAUUAAGGAAAAUUAACAUAUAGAUUACCCCGAAAAAUUUCCUCAAACUAUUUUAUAAUUCCUUAAUCCCACCCCUUCUUGCCCUCUUUACCACCUUCAAUUCUAGGAAACUGCACCUAUGCUUUUUGUCACUAUGAUUGGUUUGUUGUGUCUGAGAUUUUAUAUAAAUGUCACCAUACACUAUGCACUUUUUGUCUGACUUCUUUCAACUAGCAUAGUUUGAGAUUCCUAUAUGUUUUAUCUAUCAAUAGUAUAUUUUUAUGGCUGAGUCUUAUUUUAUUAUAUGACUAUAUUCACCUUCAUGACAAUAGACAUUAGGUUGUUUCCAGUUUGGGGCCUGAGAAAUAAAGUUGUUUUGAACAUUCAUGUACAAGUAUUUGUAAGGACAUAUGCUUUUAUUUCUUUUGCAUAAAUACUAAAAAAAAGAGUGGCUGGGCUAUAAGUGUGUUUAGCUUUUAUAAAACCUAAAUAAUUCAAAAAGCAAAAAAUGAAAAUCUCAUUUAAAACAAUGGGCAAAGGACAUAAACAGACAUUUCUCAAAAGAAUACCUACAUGCAGCCAACAAACAUGAAAAAAUUCUCAAUAUCACUAAUUAUUAGAGAAAUGCAAAUCAAAACUACAAUGGGAUACCAUCUCAUAUCAGUCAAAAUGGCUAUUGUUAAAAAAAUAAAAAAUUACAGGUGUUGGUGAGGUUUCAGAGAAAAGGAAAUGCUUUCACACUGUCAGUGGGAAUGUAAAUUAGUUCGGCCACUGUGGAAAGCAGUUUUGAGAUUUCUCAAAUAACUAAAAAAACAGAACUACUGUUCAACCCAGCAACCCCAUUGCUGGGUAUAUACCCAAAGGAAAAUAAAUUGUUUUUUCAAAAAGACAUGUGCACUUGAAUGUUCAUUACAGCACUAUUGACAAUAGGGAAGACAUGGAAUCUACCUAGAUGUAUAUCAGUGUUAGACUGGAUAAAGAAAACAUGGUACACAUCCACCAUAGGAUACUAUGCAGCCAUAAAAAUGAACAAAGUCAUGUCUUUGCAGCAACAUGGAUGCAGCUAAAGGCCAUUAUCCUAAGCAAAUUAACAGAGGAACAGAAAACCAAAUACUACAUGUUCUCACUUAUAAGUGGGAGCUAAACAUUGAGUUUAGUUUACACAUAGACAUAAAAAUGGAAACAAUAGACACUGGUCACUGGGGACUUCCAGAAGGGGGAGCGUGGGAAGAGGACAAGGGUUGAAAAAUUACCUGUUGGUUACUAUGCUCACUACUGGGUGACACAAACAUUUGUACUCCAAACCUCAGUGACGCAAUUCAUCCAUGUAACAAACCUGCACAUGUACCCACUGAACCUAAAAUAAAAACUGAAAGAAAAAAAUAUAUUUUUAGCUGUAGCUGAAAAAAAAAAAAGGAAACAGAAAAAGAAACCGCCAUGCUAUUCUUCAAAGUAUUUGUGUCAUAUUACAUGUCCAGCAUCAGAGAGUGAGAGUUCCAGUUCUCCAGCACUUGGCCUUGUUCUCUCUAACUUCAGAUAUUCUACAGGAUGUGUAGUAGUAUCUCAAUGUGCUUUCGUUUCCAGUUCCUUAGUUACUAAUGAUGUUUAACCAUGUUUUCAUGUGCUAUUUUAUCCUUUGUGCAUUUUAGUUUGUGAAGUGUCUUUAGCAAUUUUUACCCUUUUUAAAAAAAAGUAUUGUUUCUUUCUUAUAAUUUUUUUUUUUUCGUUGAGAUGGAGUCUCACUCUGUCACCCACACUGGAGUGCAGUGGUGCGAUCCCGGCUCACUGCAACCUCCAUCUCCCAGGUUCAAGCAAUUCUUGUGCCUCAGCCUCUCCGGUAGCUGGGAUUACAGGCAUGCACCACCAUGCCCAGCUAUUUUUUUUUUUUUUUUUUUGUAUUUUUAAUAGAGACAGGGUGGGUUUCACCAUGUUGGCCACGCUGGUCUCAAACUCCUGCCCUCAAGUGAUCCACCCGCAUUGGCCUCCUAAAGUCCUGGGAUUACAGGUGUAAGCCACUGUGCCCAGCCUGUUUCUUAUAAUUGGAUUUUGAAAACUUUUUUAUAUAUUAUAGAUACAUGUCUUGUAUCAGUCAUGAAAUUUUAAAUAUAUUCUCCAAGACUGUGUAUUGUAUUUUCAUUCCCUGAAAAGUCUUAAUAGAAGAAAAAAAUUGCUAAUUUUGAUAAAGUCAAAAUUUUUAACUUUUCUUUUUCAUGAAUCAUAAUUUUGAUGCCAUCUAUAAGAAAUAUUUGCUUGGAACGCAUUCAUAAAGAAUUUCUCCUCUCCUUCUAGUAAUUUAAGAAUUUUCAUUUUUAUAUUUUGGGACAAUUGUCAUUUUGAGUUAACUUUAUAUAUGAUGUGAGGUAUGGAUGGAAGUUUAUUUUUGUUGACAAAUGGUUAUCCACCUGUUCCUGUGAAGAAGCAUUAUCUUAUGUCCAUUGAAUUCCUUUGUACCUUUGAUAAAAAUCAGUGAAAUAUAUGAGACUAUUUAUGUACAGUCCAUUCUGGUCCAUUGAACUGUCUUCACACCAAUGCCAUACUGUCUUGAAUACACUGUAGCUUCAUGGUAAGUCUUGAGGUCAGAUAGGAUAUACAGUUCAAAUUUAUUUUUACUUUUAAUUGUUUUGGCUAUUCUAACUCUUUAACAUUUUCAUUCAAAUUAACCUAUGAAUGUUUUCAAACAAGCCUACUAUAAUUUCAAAUGAGUUUCUGUUAAAAUUUUGUUGAUCAAUUUCAGGAGUAUUAAAAUUUUCCUAAUAUUGAGUCCUUGGAUUCAUAAACACAGUUCAUCUCUCCAUUGAUUUUUGUCUCUUGUAUUUGUGUCAGUUAAAUUUUUGUAGUUUUUAAUAUAUAGGUCUUUCACAUUUUUCAUGGUUUAAGCACUAAUAAAAUUAUACUUGUAUAUUAUAGAAAAUGAUAUUUUAUUUUAAUUCUGAUUAUUGUUUUUGAAUAUAAAAGUACAAUGGAAUUUUAUGGGUUUUGUAUCUUGUGACCAAAUUAAUUAGUUCUAGGUCUUUAUGUAAAUUAUAGGAUUUUACAUGUAUGAUAACAUCAUUGUGAUAGUUUUACUUCUUCCUCUGUAAUCUGAAUGCCUUUUGUAUUUUUCUUGCAUUUAUUACACAGACUAGAGCUUCCAUUAUAACGAUGAAUAGAAGUUGUAAGAGCAGAUGACCUUGACUUUCUGCUACCAUUAAAGGGGAAAUGUAUAGUUUACGAUAAACUAUGAUGUCAGCAAGAGGUUUCUCUGAAAUGCCCUUUUUUAGAUUGAGGAACUUCCAAAUGAUUCCUAGAUUGAUGACAGUAUUUAUCAGGGAUGAAUUUUUGGAUUUAUCAAAUGUUUUUUUCUGCAUUUAUUGAAAUUAUCAUAGUAUUUCCCUUCUGUGAGUUUGUUAAAUAUGAUGACAUACUAAUUCUCAAAGGUUAGAAUACUUUCACUUUUCUGAUUCACUUUGUCAGGUUAUAUUAACACUUGAUUUUCUUAAAAAAACAACUUUUGAUUCAUUGAUUCGAUUUAUUGUUUUUCUAUUUUUUAUUUUGUUGAUAAUUCUUAUCUUUAUUAACAUUUUCUAUUUAUCAUUGGCUUUAAGGAACUUAACUUUUAUAUGACUUGAUGUAGUUUUCUUCAUAUUUCUAGUACUUGGGCUUUGCUGAACUUCUUGGCUCUGUUGGUUGAUGUUUUUUAAUAAAACAUGGAAACAUUCCCAUCAUUUUUUCUCAAAUAUUUUUCUGCCUCUCUUAUUAUCCUUCUAGACCCAAAUUGUGCAUGUAUUUGAUCACUUAAACAUAUCCCAUAAUUCACAUAAGCUAUUUACUACUUUUAAGACCCUUUUUAAUCCAUAUUUUACUUAUAUAGUUUCUAUUGUUGGACUUUAAGUUAAUUAAUAUAGUUUUAUGUUUUGCUUGGUUUUCUGCAGUUUCUAAUCUUUUAUUUCAUAGAUUGUGUUUUUCAGAGCUUUCUUUUUUAUGUCUGGAAGUUAAAUUUGAACUUUUUUAUAUUUUCUAUAUUUAUUAAUACCAUCAAUUUUUAUAUACCUCGUUGAAUAUAUAAAUUUGAUUGACAAAAAUAAUUUCAAUGUCUUUGUCUACUGAGUCUAUCAUAUUAUUUCUAUGUGUGAUUUGGUUUAUUAUUCUCCCAAUUAGUGAUCAGAUUUCUAUGCUUUCUGAAUGCCUGAUUAAUUUUGACUAGAGUUUAUAUACUGUGAAUUUUUUACCUUUAUCCUGCUAGCUCCCAUAUAUUUGUGUAUUCACAAAAAUGUUAUUGAGCUUUGUUCUAAGACACAGAUAAAUUUCUUGGAAAUAGUUUGUUUCCUCUAAGGCUUAUUCUAGUCUUUGUACACAGGACCCAAUAACCUAACAAUCUGUUGCUAAUUUAUUUUUGCCACUACUGAGUCAAUAUCCUUCCAAAUAAGAAUAGAAAAUAUUAUCCCAUUUUUAUUAGCAUUGGGGAUUAUUUUUUCUGCUUUUUUUGGGUGGUGCUUUCUCUGGCUUUUUUUUUAUAUAUACACUCAUAUGCUGCUUAGUCUUCAAGUAAAAUCUUGACAGAGACAUCUGGAUCUCUCUCUCUCCCUCUUUCUUCUAGUGUGUUUUCCUGCAAACUCUUUGUGCCUCCUGAACUAGGAAGAUUCCUAGGCUCCAACUUUAUUUUAUCUUCCUGUACUGCAGCGUCAAACCACAUUGCAGUUAGUAUGCUGGGGGAUCAUAAGACCAUUUCUUUCCUCUUUUUCAGGAAAUCUCUCUUGCAAUUCUUAAUAUCUAAAGUCUGAAAACUAAAGGUUUAUUCUUUUAUUAUUUUUCCAGAAUAUUUGACUCUUUCAAGCAGUAGAGUAUAUCCCAUAUCCCAUCCCUGUUAUUCUACCUUGCCCUGAAAAAAAAAAUCACUUUUUGACUUGUAAUUUUUUUUUUUUUUUUUUGAGACAGAGUCUAGCUCUGUCACCCAGGCUGGAGUGCAGUGGCGUGAUCUCGGCUCACUGCAACCUCCGCCUCCUGGGUCAAGUAACUCUUCUGCCUCAGCCUCCUGAGUAGAUGGGACUACAGGCGCGUGCCACAAUGCCCAGCUAAUUUUUGUAUUUUUAGUGGAGACGGGGUUUCACCAUAUUGGCCAGGCUGGUCUCGAACUCCUGACCUCAUGAUCCACCCAACUCGGCCUCCCAAAGUGCUGGGAUUAUAGGCGAGAGCCUCUGUGCCCGGGCUUUGACUUGUAAUUUUAAAAACAAAAUGUAGAGGUAUCAGUUGUUUCAGACGUGUUGUAUUAAUGAGGAAAGUAAUAGAGUAAAACUAUUGAUAAUAUUUCAUGCUUACUAUACCAUUGAUGUACAAUAUUCCACAUACAGUGUUAUAAUUUAGUGGAUUUUUUAUAUAUUACUAUUUAACCAAUGUCACUGGAUUCAGAAGUAUUUAUGUUAAGAUGUAAAGGAUAAAUAAAAUAUUUUAUGAUUUAAAAAUAUAUCAGAAAUUUAAUCACCUGGUAAACAUCAAUAUAAAGCCAAUUGAAACUAACAACAUUUUUCUUUGAAAACAUAAACCAAUGUGCACAUGCUGAAAUUGGGAGCAACUUUGUUAAAAUUCAUCAAAGAAAAUGGAAAGAAGAAAAGUUCACUUUAAUUCCACUGGGUAAUAUAAAAAUACAUUUUUACUGUGAGAUUAUUUGCAAGUUAUAUUUAAAGAUACCAUCUCUGUGAAUAUUUAUGUACUGUUAACAUGACUCCUCUUCUAGUAGUCAGAAAUUUGUGUUCAGCUGUCACUCACCGCAGCUACUUCAGACUUUCUGCUUUAAAAAAAUCGUUGAACAUUUUAGCAUCUUUCUUCAAGGACAUUCUUUCAUAGGAUGUCAAGGAGCACCCUGAAAAAACACAAGAUGUAACUUUAUGCUUCCUUUUGGAGGAAAGUUACCACCCCAUAAAAACUUCAAUUACAAUUUCCAUGAUAUAUUUUGGAGCAGGCUGGGGUAGGCUUGAGCUUGGAUAAUGUUUCAAAACCCUAUUUCAUUUUUUAAAAACACAAAUAAAAAAAUUGUAAUCAGAAAUAUUAAAUAAAAUUUCUAAUGCUAUGUUUUACUCUUGGGGCAAAUUGAGUUACUGUUAAUAUUGAUGAAAUUUAGACUUUUCUUUUAAAAUAAGUGUUGUACCUACCACACUGGGUUUCUCAGACCAUUUUUAAAACAUUUACUAUGUUUUUAAGUUUAAAAUGUUUUUUUUAAUUCACAGAAAAUUGGCAGAGAUACUGCAGAGAGCUCUCAUAUGCUCAACACCCAGUUUCCUUAUUAUUAGCAUUUUAAAUUAAUAUGAUUUGUUAUAAUUAAUAAACCAAUAUUGAUACAUUAUUAUUAAUGAAAGUCCAUACUAUAUUCAUAUUUCCUUAGUUUUUAUCUAAUGUCAUUUGUAUUUUCCAGGAUCUCACCUAGAAUGCCAUAUUAUAUUUAGUUAUUUUUCUCUUUAGGAUUGGCCACAACACUUUUUUAGACAUUCUUGUUUUUGAUAACUUUGACAGUUUUGAGGACGACCAGUCAUGUAUUUGGAGAAUACCCUUUAUGGAUACCUUCUCAUGUUUAAACUGACUUUUUACGUAUUUUUUUUUAAGGAAGAUCAUGGAGGUAAAAUGACAUUUUCAUUCCAUCAUAUCAGAUAUAUACUGUCAACAUGAUUGAUCGCUGAUGCUGUUGAUCUAUCAGCUGUUGAGAUAGUGUUUCUUAGUUUUCUUCACUGGAAAGUUAUUAUUUUCCCAUCUUUUUAUAUUGUACUCUUUGGAAGAAAGUCACUGUGUGCAGCCCACUUUAAAGGGAAGGCAUUACAACCACCACCUGAAUAUGAGUUUCUACCUAACGUGACUGGUAUUUUUCUUGAUGAGAUAUUUAUUUUCUCCACUUAUAUUUAUUUACUCAAUUAUUUAUUUACAAUACUAUAAACAUAUUUUACACCAUUAAUUUUACACUUUGGGAAAUAAUCUAUUAUGACAUUAUUCAUUUUGCUACUCAAAUUGCGAUAGUUUUUAUCAUUGGGAACCCUUUCCCUUUGUUUCUAUGUGCCUUUGAUAUACCACCAUUAUUGUGUGAAGGUUUUUGUUUCGGUUCGGUUUUUGUUUUGAUUUUUUUAAAUACUUUCUUACUUUCUAGAACUGCAGGAUUCUCCAGGCUCAUCUUGUAUAUUUCAUGGCUCAGGCGCUGAAUCACCAUUUUCUCCAUGGAGCACUUGUACCUUGUAUUGGAGAAUAACAUCAGAAAUCAAGAUUUAGUUGUGUUCUCAAUUUCUUUAAAGUGUUUUCAGUUUUAAGUCGGAGCUUAAAUACUGAGUACACAUGGACACAAAGAAGGGAACAACAGACACAGAGGCCUGCUUGAGGGUGAAGAGCGAGAGGAGGAUGAGGAUCGAAAAACUACCUAUUGGGCACUAUGCUUAUUACUGGGUGACAAAAUAAUUUGUACACCAAACCCCCGUGACAUGGAAUUUACCUAUACAGCAAACCUUCCCAUGUAUUCCCAAACCUAAAAUAAAUGUUAAACAAAAAUCUGGGUGCUAGGUGUGCUAUUGUUACAAGAAAGUCAAUGUUUCUAGGCUCUGUUAACUGACAAAGUAAGGAAAUACAUACGCAAACACUAACUCAUGUAUACACUACACAUUAUCUAUCAUCUAUCUAAAUUUACAUAAGAUGAAACACGAAUUGAUACCGAUUUCUCCAACUCUAAUUGAAUACCACAUAUAUCAUUCUAGUAGUCUCAUCUUGCUGGUUUGUUACCUUCCACUGUAAAAGUGAGAAACCUGCAUUGUAUAAGAAGACUCUGUUCAGCUUUGAAAGAAACUGUAAAACCAUUUUCCAAAGUGGAUGUACCAAGUAUACAAUUUACUCAAUUAUUCAACUCAAAUGUACAUGUACAGGAUUGUUAACAUAUGCCCUGUCGGGACAAGAUAUGAACUUGUACAGUGCAGAGUUUAUGUAAAGAUUACAUUGCCUUCAGUCUUAACAGAAUCCACCCUUCUCCAAAGUUACUUAGGUCAGCACCAUUUGUGCAUUGCCUUCAGGUAGGUUGCUUCAUACAUUGGUAAAUACAGUUAGAUUCUUUUAUCACACUCAACAUUUCAUCCUGGGAUUCCUUGACUUCCUAUUUCUUAAUAAUUUGCAUAUAUCAGCUUUCAUGUCCUGUGCUGCAAGUGCAAUAGGUUUUGACAACUGCAAAGUAGUAUGAAUCCACCAUUAUGAUGUUAUACAGAAUAAUUUCAAUGCCCUAAGAAAAUGCAUGUGCUUCAUGAAUUCAACCUCUGCCCAAACCCUUGACAAACACUGCUUUCUUUAUAGUUUCUACAGUUUUGCCGAUAAAUUGCAAUCAUGUAUUAGAUAGUCUUUACAGAAUGCCUUUCUUCAUUUAGCAAUAUUCAUUUAAGAUUCAUCAUGACUUGGAAUAGCUUGAUGGGUUAUAUCUAUUUAUUGCUGAAUAAUAUUAUACAAUAUAUUUUUCUGUUCCAUAUUUAAGAAUAUAUUGGUUGUUUCCAGUUUAUUGUGAUGAUGUAUAAAGCUGUUGUUAAUAUCUACAUAAAGAUUUGUGUGGGGACAAUUUUUCAAAUCACUGGUUAAGUAACUAGGAUCACAAUGGCCUGAUUGUAAAAUAAGCCUAUGUUCAGCUUUGAAAUAAACUGUCAAACCAUUUCCAAAAGUGAAUGUAGCAGUUUACAUCCCCACCAGCAACAAACGGAGCACUAGUUGUUCUGAAUCUACAGCAGUUGAUAUUGUUUAAUUUAUUUAUUUUUACUUUAGCUAUUCUAAUAGGUGUGAUGUUAUACCUUACAGAUUGAAUUUGCAUUUCAAAUAGCAAAUAAUGUUGAUCAUCUUUUCAUCUGUGUAUCCUCUUACCUGAGGUGUCUAUUUAGAUCUUUUGCCUAUUUUGUAAUUGUGUCAUUUGUUUAGUUUUAGGUGUUCUUUGUGUAUUUUUUAUUGUUUAGUUUUAGGUGUUCUUUGUGUAUUUUAGAUACAAGUCAUUUUGAAAAAAAAAAUGACUGUGUCUGGUUGAGGAGAUUAACUCCUGGUUCAAAACCUAUAUGUGAUUUUUUAGACCUGACCACAGGCAACUACAAAGGCUUUACCUGGCAGGACUCAUGGGAAUAAACUGCACUCCCACAGACCAGACUGGGUACACAGACAGUUCAUUACAGUCUCUGAAGGGAGUUGCAGUUGAGAACUCAGGGCCUCUUGACUGGUCAGGCUCUUACGGUAUUUAAAUUCCUAGUGCCUUCAUUCCUAGAUCUCUUUAUCUGAGGUCUAGGACAGAGAGAUCUUCUUCAAGUAUCUCUGCUGAGACCUCCUGGAGGAGAAAAAGGUGGGAAAACUUCAAGAUAUGCUUUUUUUCCCACUUUGACUCAGCACCCAGUAAUUUGUCACUCCCAGCUCUUCCUCCUCAUCCUGCCCCUGACACCAGGGUCUAUAAAGCUGCCUGACUCUAUUGUUUGCGGCUUCCUCAACAGGGAAAUGAUCCACCUCUCUGUGCAACAGAAACCCCUCCACCUGUGUGCCCUUCCAUGGGAGGGAUGAGACAGAGAGUUGGGGCUUCCUUUGGUUUUAGACUCCUGCUUAUGCCAUCACAGUAUGUGAAUAAAGGCUUAACUCCUUUAUUUUUAACUUGUUGCUUUAAUUGGAUCCUCCAACACUUGCUUUAAUUGGAGCCUCCUGAUGCUAGGUUUUCCUUUCUCUUUACAGUGCAUUUCAGGGAAACAUAGUUAUUAAUUUCAACAAAGUCCAACUUAUCAAUUUUUUUUCUUUUUUUUUCUCUCAGGAUCCUUUUCUAUAAAUAAUCAAGAUAAUCCUUUCUAGUUCUCUCUUUCCUCCCGCAUAGCCCACUCUCCUUGGGCAAUGCUGAGAGGUGACAGCGUGCUGGCAGUCCUCACAGCCCUCACUCGCUCUUGGCGCCUCCUCUGCCUGGGCUUCCACUAUGGGGGCACUUGAGGAGCCCUUC
rnacentral:lncRNA from 1 species